GAUGUACGCUGGCGGCGUGCCUAAUACAUGCAAGUCGAGCGAAUGGAUUAAGAGCUUGCUCUUAUGAAGUUAGCGGCGGACGGGUGAGUAACACGUGGGUAACCUGCCCAUAAGACUGGGAUAACUCCGGGAAACCGGGGCUAAUACCGGAUAACAUUUUGAACCGCAUGGUUCGAAAUUGAAAGGCGGCUUCGGCUGUCACUUCUGGAUGGACCCGGGUCGCAUUAGCUAGUUGGUGAGGUAACGGCUCACCAAGGCAACGAUGCGUAGCCGACCUGAGAGGGUGAUCGGCCACACUGGGACUGAGACACGGCCCAGACUCCUACGGGAGGCAGCAGUAGGGAAUCUUCCGCAAUGGACGAAAGUCUGACGGAGCAACGCCGCGUGAGUGAUGAAGGCUUUCGGGUCGUAAAACUCUGUUGUUAGGGAAGAACAAGUGCUAGUUGAAUAAGCUGGCACCUUGACGGUACCUAACCAGAAAGCCACGGCUAACUACGUGCCAGCCGCCGCUGUAA
rnacentral:rRNA from 1 species